GACGAACGCUGGCGGCGUGCCUAACACAUGCAAGUCGAGCGAACCGACCAGGUGCUUGCUCCUCUGACGUCAGCGGCGGAGGGGUGAGUCACUUGUGUAUAACCUACCUAUAAGACUGGGAUAACUUCGGGAAACCGGAGCUACUACCGGAUGAUAUAUUGCACCUCGUGGUUCAAUAGUUAGAUUCGGUUUUUGUGUCAGUUAUAGCUUGCUCCGCGCCGCAUUAGCUCGUUGGUAAGGUAAAGGCUUACCAAGGCAACGAGGCGUAGCCGACCCGAGAGGGUGAUCGGCCACACUGGAACUGAGACACGGUCCAGGCUCCUACGGGAGGCAGCAGUAGGGAAUCUUCCGCAAUGGGCGAAAGCCUGACGGAGCAACGCCGCGUGAGUGAUGAAGGUCUUCGGAUCGUAAAACUCUGUUAUUAGGGAAGAACAAAUGUGUAAGUAACUAUGCACGUCUUGACGGUACCUAAUCAGAAAGCCACGGCUAACUACGUG
rnacentral:rRNA from 1 species